CAAUCAAGUGUCUUAAGGGUAUUCGGUGGAUGCCUUGGCAAUGAGAGGCGAUGAAGGACGUGCUACGCUGCGAUAAGCUAUGGGGAGCCGCGAAGAGGCUUUGAUCCAUAGAUUUCCGAAUGGGGAAACCCACCUUCGAUAGCCGAAACUCUAAGGUCGUGAUCACGCAAGUGGUUAUGAUUUUGGAUUUUCGGUUAUCAGUUGAAGGUAUGAGACUCCUGAAUACAUAGGGGGUUUUAAGCGAACCCGGGGAACUGAAACAUCUAAGUACCCGGAGGAAAGGACAUCAACAGAGACUCCG
rnacentral:rRNA from 1 species